rnacentral:rRNA from 1 species
UUGACCUCGAAAUCAG